rnacentral:rRNA from 1 species
UAAGGAAUAUUGGACAAUGGACGAAAGUCUGAUCCAGCCAUGCCGCGUGAAGGAUUAAGGUCCUCUGGAUUGUAAACUUCUUUUAUUUGGGACGAAAAAAGAUCAUUCUUGAUCACUUGACGGUACCAGAUGAAUAAGCACCGGCUAACUCCGUGCCAGCAGCCGCGGUAAUACGGAGGGUGCAAGCGUUAUCCGGAUUCACUGGGUUUAAAGGGUGCGUAGGCGGGUUUGUAAGUCAGUGGUGAAAUCCUGGAGCUUAACUCCAGAACUGCCAUUGAUACUAUAAGUCUUGAAUAUUGCGGAGGUAAGCGGAAUAUGUCAUGUAGCGGUGAAAUGCUUAGAUAUGACAUAGAACACCCAUUGCGAAGGCAGCUUACUACACAUAUAUUGACGCUGAGGC